rnacentral:misc_RNA from 1 species
UGCUAAGGGAGCAUGGGACGUGAAUUGCUUUGCUUGGAGUCCUUAAAAUGGACGUGAGCUGCAUGGGGUCGCAUGAGAGAGUCCACGUGAAAGUUGCAUGGGCAAUUGAAGUGGACGUGGUGAAUUGCAUGGGCUUGGUUCACGUAAAAGUGUCCCUUCUUGCAUGGGAAAUUUGUGGCGCACUAAAUGGCCAUUAGUGGAGUACAUGUGGUGUGACAAGAGAAGUCCGCACAUUCACGUGCAUGGAGAAUGCAUGGGCAAUUGGAGUGGUUCACGUGAAGCUUAGCAAAUUACAUGAGAGGUUAGUGGUGACCACAUGUGAAGUCAUGAGUGGAGACAUGUGAAGUUGUGAGUGGGAGAUUCACAUACAUGCGCAUGGCAUGGCUUACGUGAAGAACAAUUGCAUGGAGCUAGUGGUGCAUUAGUGGCGCAAAUGGUGAUCACAAGUCCAUUUAGUGGGACAUGUGGCGUGGUGGCAAAGUGGUGCCAUGUGGAGCCAAGAGAACAUGCAAGGUGGCGUGAGGAACCAAAGUGAAUCCAUGCAUGAGAAUGUAGACCAAGCAUGCAGCGUGAGGGAAUUAAACCAAGCAAAGUGGGGCGCACUUAGUGGGAAACACAUGUGGCGCGGCAAAGAGUGGACAAGUGCACUUAUACAUGCAUAAAUCAUGUAUGGGACGUGGGAAUGCUAGAAAUGGAAGACCAAGUGCUACGGCAAUAUGGGACCAUCACAUGGACAUGGGACCAAAUUGUUGAGAUAGUGGGACGCUCAUGGUGGAGGCCACGUGAAGAAGUGCAUGGAGUGAGCACCACUACAUGCAUGGGCCAUGCAGCGUGAAGUCCAAGUGGCCAUCAAAUGGAGCGGCACUUGGGACUUGCAAGGUGGCCAUCAAAUGAAGCGGCACUUGGGACCAAGUAAAUUGGGGCGCAUGAAUGAGGGAAUUGGACCAGCCCAUGUGUGCGUGAGCAAGUGGCCCGCCCACUUGCCAAUUGGAACCAAUGCAUGGCGCCAAGUUUUCCCUCCCAUUUGCCCACUUGGAGUGUCACGGCAGGUUGAGGUGUCAAUGC